ensembl:miRNA
GCCCUGGCCCCAGGGUCCUCUUGUCUGAGCCCCAGAAAGAGGAGAGAGCGCUGGGUCACAGAAGAGGGUCUGGGGGACAGGUU